UCCUCCGUCGUCCCGCAACCGACAACGGCACCUAGACAGCUAUACGUGAUCCAACCGAAGCUGUCCACCGCCCGAACCGACUCCGUCACCAAGAAUCCACCAACCACCCUCCCUCUUAUAUACGCGUUCCCCUCGCCCCGUUCUCUUCUGCUCCCGUCACCGCCCCGUCGCAGGAGCGGCCCAUCUUCGUUCCGUCGCGGGGAUCGUGAGAUCUCAUGGGUUAUCUCUUCUUUUUGGUGGAGCACGUUGUGCCAUCCGAAUCCGAUGCUGUCGUUCCUGUGGUGGACGAUUCGCCUCUCCGAAUACAUGUCUACGAUCCCUUAAGCCAAGGGAUUUUGUGACAUUUUGCUUGUGAUGGCUGAAUCGGUUGAUGCGUCAGACCCGUCAGCUUAUGCCGCUGUGGAUGUUUAUCUCCGGGGAACGCCGCCGCCGCUGCUGUUUCAUCUUCACUGGUUUAUGAUGCCCACGGCCAACUGAUAUCUUCUCCAACGACAGUCGAUAUGCUUUCUCGAGGUCUUCUCAUCUCAGCGAGGCGCCAGAAGGAAGCGGUUCAUCCGAUAUAUGGUUCCUGUUUGCCGAUCAAAUGAUCCGUGUUUCCUGCUUGUCUGUCUCCGAACACUGCAGAAAGGUAAUUGUGUUGGUAAGCUGAUGAUGCGCAUGUGAGGACGUGCGUAUUGUACUACUUGAUGUACCAGUACAUUGGUAGGGUAGGACGGCCUUUGCCAUGUCGGGUGCGCUCGCUUGGCAGGCCACAAGACAAUAAAAAGUAUAUUUGGUGGUGUUUGCGGGGUGGAGAUCGCACGGGAACUAUCUAUUUGUUCCUAUUUUGCCCGGGUUCUCCACCCUGCCAUGGUGUCUCUGUCCUCUCCUGUGUUGUUGUUUCCGCGGCAUCAUCUCAAGUGCGCCACGAGCCUACAUAGCAAAUAUAUCGACAGGCCUGGGCGCAGCGGUAACUACGUUCUGAAGAUCAAUCUAACUACGCACAAGGUAUAUCUAACUGCUUCUUUACGCGUUAUAUCAAUUUAAAUUUGAAGUGACCUUCAUCGUCAAGGGUCAACCUGAAUUGACUCUAAGCUGUCGAUCUAGAAUUCAAUGUGCACAUCAUCUCAACUAAAAAAUAAUCCGUACAUGGUGGACCUCAGCUUUCAUCUUUUGGUUUGAUCCCAAGAAUGACAACAGUGAAAUUCCCACGGGCAAACCCCUUAUGCAACACAGGCCUGAGAAUUUUUUAGUUCAUCUGAAUAUUCGUUUUAUAUUACCAUGGUGUGUCCAUAAUCUUGUUGUCCUAAGAAGGUGAAUUACUUGUUCUCCUAGCCUCCUUGGUCCUUGUUGUAUUCAAUUAUUUUCAGUUCAGUAUACCAUUGAAGGACUUGAGUUCUCUUUGUACAGCUUGUUAGUCUUCGAAAUUUAUUUGUAUUUUAGUUGACCUGAGGACUGGAGCUUGUCCAGAAGUUGCUGGUGCAUCAUACUUCCUCUUGGUGAACAGUUUGAUUAGCGUUUGAGGAUUACUAUUCAGCUCGUCAUAUCUAAUGAAGUUGCAGACAGCUUAUCAUAUAUAAAGAAGUUACAGACAGCUUAUGGUUGGGAAAUGCCAUUUUCGCUCUUGUGUUCAUGUUGAUACGUACAGAAAGCUUAUUGAAGAAUUAAAUUGUAAAAUGUUGAUAUAUUUUGUGAGGUGAAGGUGCUGCACCUUUCAGUUAGCUGAUUGCCUGCUUCACUUCCAUUUUUCUUUGUAAGAUUAGAGGAUUCAUUAUCAUAAAUAUUUUUCGUAGCUUAAUAUAUGCUGUCUUCAGAUUUAAUUUGUUGUCAUAAAAAAUUGUACAUUCCUUUGGAUUUCUCAUUUUUAUGCUUACAUUCUUCUAACAAGAAUUGGAUGGAUUUUGUUCUAACAAAUUUAAUUUUAGUAAGCAGGUUAAUUUGAAUUGGAUGGAUCUUGGAGGCAUGGCUGGUCCGAAGGGGCUUGAUCUGAAUAUUUGAUUUGUUGUAUGCUUCCAUUUGUAACAGGGUUUUGAUAAACAAAUUUAAUUUUAGUAAGCAGGCUAAUUCAAAGUGGAUGAAUUGUCACUCAAAUGCGAUUGGAUUGGAGAAGUGAGUCUGAAACGACUUGGUCUCAAUGGUUUUUUUAACUUAAAAGAUGAAUAUGAACAAAUAGU